rnacentral:rRNA from 1 species
AGCAAUACGUUUGUAAAGCGGCGAACGGGUGAGGAAUACAUGGGUAACCUACCCUAGAGUGGGGAAUAACUAGCCGAAAGGUUAGCUAAUACCGCGUACGCUCCUUGGACUUCGGUUCAGGGAGGAAAGCGCUACCGUGGGUAUCGCGCUCAUGGAUGGGCUCAUGUCCUAUCAGCUUGUUGGUGAGGUAAUGGCUCACCAAGGCUUCGACGGGUAGCUGGUCUGAGAGGACGAUCAGCCACACUGGCACUGCGACACGGGCCAGACUCCUACGGGAGGCAGCAGUAAGGAAUAUUGCGCAAUGGGCGAAAGCCUGACGCAGCGACGCCGCGUGGGGGAUGAAGGUCUUCGGAUUGUAAACCCCUUUCGGGAGGGAAGAUGGAAUGGGGUAACCCAUUCGGACGGUACCUCCAGAAGCAGCCACGGCUAACUUCGUGCCAGCAGCCGCGGUAAUACGAAGGUGGCAAGCGUUAUUCGGAUUUACUGGGCGUACAGGGAGCGUAGGCGGUUCGGUAAGCCCUUUGUGAAAUCUCCAGGCUUAACCUGGAAAAGUCGGAGGGGACUGCCGGGCUAGAGGACGGGAGAGGAGCGCG